rnacentral:rRNA from 1 species
CCCUUAGAUGUUCUGGGCCGCACGCGUGCUACACUGAGUGGAUCAGCGGGUCAGGUUGCGCGAAAGUGUUUCCUAAUCUUGAAAUCCGCUCGUGAUGGGGAUUGACGGUUGCAAUUUUCCGUCAUGAACGAGGAAUACCUUGUAAGCGCGGGUCAUCAUCCCGCGCUGAAUACGUCCCUGCCCUUUGUACACACCGCCCGUCGCUCCUACCGAUUGAAUGAUCCGAUGAAUAUCAUGGAUUGAGGAUGCAAGUAGGUUAGCCUAUCUUCAUCUUCGAGAAGUGAAGUAAAUCUUAUCAUUUAGAGGAAGGAGAAGUCGUAACA